rnacentral:rRNA from 1 species
CAGUAGCCACGGUAAUACGUGGGGUGCAAGCGUUAAUCGGAAUUACUGGGCGUAAAGCGUGCGCAGGCGGUUAUAUAAGACAGAUGUGAAAUCCCCGGGCUCAACCUGGGAACUGCAUUUGUGACUGUAUAGCUAGAGUACGGCAGAGGGGGAUGGAAUUCCGCGUGUAGCAGUGAAAUGCGUAGAUAUGCGGAGGAACACCGAUGGCGAAGGCAAUCCCCUGGGCCUGUACUGACGCUCAUGCACGAAAGCGUGGGGAGCAAACAGGAUUAGAUACCCCAGUAGUCCCUGUCUCUUAUAC